AACUUUUAACAAUGGAUCACUUGGUUCUGGCAUCGAUGAAGAACGCAGCGAAAUGAGAUAAGUAAUGUGAAUUGCAGAAUUCAGUGAAUCAUCGAAUCUUUGAACGCACAUUGCGCCCCCUGGUAUUCCGGGGGGCAUGCCUGUCCGAGCGUCAUUACAACCCUCAAGCUCAGCUUGGUAUUGGGCCCCGCCGACCCGGCGGGCCCUAAAGUCAGUGGCGGUGCCGUCCGGCUCCGAGCGUAGUAAUUCUUCUCGCUCUGGAGGUCCGGUCGUGUGCUCGCCAGCAACCCCCAAUUUUUUACAGGUUGACCUCGGAUCAGGUAGGGAUACCCGCUGAACUUAAGCAUAUCAAUAAGCGGAGGCU
rnacentral:misc_RNA from 1 species